CACUUAAGGGGUAAGCUCUACAAACAAACAAGUGUGCUUUUCCUCUUUAAUAUUCUGUAUGGGAUAAAGAUUAAAUUAACACUACCCACCACAAGUGUUAAUGGUUUUCUUGAGUCUCUUCAGUGCUGUUUUAGCAUUCUCAGAUAAAAUAAGCUUGGGUAUAGGACUGGUAUGGAAGGGAGAACAAGUUUACCCCAAUCUGUGGGAGAAUUCCAUGGUUCCCUGAUUUUAUUUUGUUUAUCCAUCCUAUUUAUUGAGCUUUAUCACGUCUGUGGGAUUUCUGGCACUUUGCUGCUUUUCUGUAUGUAUCAUUUUUGCAAUAAGGCAUCUUGCCUAUUUUCCAGAAAACAUUUUUAUGUUGUCCAUCUCAUUAAAGAGAAGGUUUAUUUUCCCAUUAACUCCUAAAGAAGGCAGAACUAAUCAGCUGUGGAGUUUUAGCCCACUGAUCAAUGCCAUCUGUAAAUUGUUUUGGAAGGCUUAUUCCUUACUUCUGCACUAUGGAACCAUAGGAAAUAAUGCAGGUCAAGACCAAGGACAUAUCCUAUGCAAGCAGACAGACUCCAGCCAGCAUAAACUACUACCUGCUUCCCAGGACAAGGCUGACGAGUGCUGGUAAAUAAAUAGGUACUGAAUAGGUAAGGGCUCUCCAUCCCCCAGCAGACAUCUGCUCUUUGUGCUGCCUGAGAUGCCACGUGGGUGACAUGCUGAUCCUGCUGGAACACUCUGUUCCCUGCUCUGAGGAACACUUAAUGCCGCUCGAAGCAUGUGUACCAGCACUACAUGGAAGAAUUGAGCGGCUCCUCCCACACAGCCAGUCGCAUCUCCUUUCUAUUAAUUCACAGGCUAAAUUUCUGUCUGAGACUGAUUAAAAUGCCUGAGUUAAUAUCACUGCAAAGAAAAGAAAAAGCUGUAACAAGAGCACUGCCAUGACUACAAAUGAUAAUGAGAGAGAGAAUAAGUUGCGCAGGCUGUCCCUGUUGAUCUCCCUCUGCCUGACCCCAGGGGGGUGAAAACCCCUUGCUGACUGGCACAGCCAGUUUGGGCAGUCAACAGUACAGAAGCCCAUACACAGCCACUACAGCCAUGGAGAUUCUGGGAUAAUUUCAGGCCUUCCUGAGGCAAUACUGCAGGACAGAAGAGAAAGCUCUGGGAACCAGCGAAUUAUAAAGCUAUUUACUUCGGCUCCCAUCCCAGCUGCUACAUGAAAAGCUAUAAAAGAGGCAAAAACCUGGAGUUUGAGAUGACAUCAUUUGAUUGCAGAGCACAGCAACAAAUGGUUAAAUCAUUCUCUUAAAAGCUCCUUUCGCUUAGUAUUAUUGUUAAUAACUUUCCCAUGCAGGACUGCAAUCUCUGACUGUUUAUCUCAUCUAUAUUAGUCUCUCCUGUUUUAUUCAUAAGUGCAUACAAAUGAAAAAAUGGAUGUGUAAUAAUGGUUAUGUAUAACUCUGGUUUGUGAGGAGCUCUCUAUUGACAAGCUUUCAAAUAAUCUGCUUCUAUUGUCUUAAUUUUUUUUUUAUUGUUAUUGGAUCCAAACAAUGAUUGCUUUACUAAAAACAAGCACCACAUUUGCUGCCACACCUAUUAUCCCAUGUGGAAAAAAAAAUCACCUUUACAACACAAACAGAAUACUACUAUUUUCUGAUUUUGCUUUUUAUCUCCUACAUGUACAUGCUAUCACAUGUUGUUUGCUGAAAUCAAAGGAAUAGAAUUGGAAAACACUUCUCCUGAACCUGUCCUUGCUGGAUUCUGGUUUCUGCGACUUAAGGCUCACACCACAAGGAAUAUUUAAUCUGUGAGCAGUACCUUUUAAAAUCAGACUUUAUCUCCAAUAAAGCAAGCUUUUUUUUUUUCUGUAUAGAAUACAUGCAGCAGUAUGUCAUUUUCAGACACCACAAGUUGGUUUUCUUGCCAUUAGUUUUGCAGAAUGUGCAAUAAUUACAACCAACACUGACUGCUUCCCCCUGCAUCUCCAGGUCUUUCCAUCACUCUCAGUCUCCCUGCAGUGGUGGAGGUGCUUGUUGGGUGAUCGCUGCAGUGCAGAACAGGACUCUGGCUCAGCCGACUCAGCCCACUAGCUGAAAUAUGGGA